rnacentral:rRNA from 1 species
UACGUGAGGGUGCGAGCGAUUAAUCGAAUCUGGGCGUAAAGCGUGCGCAGGCGGUGAUGUAAGACAGAUGUGAAAUCCCCGGGCUCAACCUGGGACCUGCAUUUGUGACUGCAUCGCUAGAGUACGGCAGAGGGGGGAUGGAAUUCCGCGUGUAGCAGUGAAAUGCGUAGAUAUGCGGAGGAACACCGAUGGCGAAGGCAAUCCCCUGGCCUGUACUGACGCUCAUGCACGAAAGCGUGGGGAGCAAACAGG